GGAGCUUGCUCUGGUGGAUUAGUGGCGAACGGGUGAGUAACACGUGAGUAACCUGCCCUUGACGGUGGGAUAAGCGUUGGAAACGACGUCUAAUACCGGAUACGAGCUUCAGCCGCAUGGCUAGGAGCUGGGAAGAACUUCGGUCAAGGAUGGACUCGCGGCCUAUCAGCUAGUUGGUGAGGUAAUGGCUCACCAAGGCGACGACGGGUAGCCGGCCUGAGAGGGUGACCGGCCACACUGGGACUGAGACACGGCCCAGACUCCUACGGGAGGCAGCAGUGGGGAAUAUUGCACAAUGGGCGCAAGCCUGAUGCAGCAACGCCGCGUGAGGGACGACGGCCUUCGGGUUGUAAACCUCUUUUAGCAGGGAAGAAGCGAAAGUGACGGUACCUGCAGAAAAAGCACCGGCUAACUACGUGCCAGCAGCCGCGGUAAUACGUAGGGUGCAAGCGUUGUCCGGAAUUAUUGGGCGUAAAGAGCUCGUAGGCGGUCUGUCGCGUCUGCUGUGAAAACCCGAGGCUCAACCUCGGGCCUGCAGUGGGUACGGGCAG
rnacentral:rRNA from 1 species